AACGAACGCUGGCGGCAUGCCUAACACAUGCAAGUCGAACGAGACCUCCGGGACUAGUGUCGCACGGGUGCGUAACGCGUGGGAACCUGCCCUUAGGUUCGGAAUAACUCCCCGAAAGGGGUGCUAAUACCGGAUAAUGUCUUAGGACCAAAGAUUUAUGGCAUCUGGGUGGGCACGCGUUGGAUUAGCUAGUUGGUAGGGUAAAAGCCUACCAAGGCGACGAUUCAUAACUUGUCUGAGAGGGUGAUCAGCCACACUGGGACGGAGACCCGGCCCAGACUCUUACGGAAGGCAGCAGUGGGUAAUAUUGAACAGUGGAGCAAGGGAUGAACCAGCAAGGCCACGAGAAUGAUGAUGGCCUUAAGGUUGUAAAGCUUUUUUACCCGGGAUGAUAAUGACAGUACCGGGAGAAAAAGCUCCGGCUAACUCCGUG
rnacentral:rRNA from 1 species